rnacentral:rRNA from 1 species
AUUGAACGCUGGCGACAUGCGUAACACAUGCAAGUCGAACGGUGUUUGGUGCUUGCACCAGACAUAGUGGCGGACGGGUGAGUAAUGCGUAGGAAUCUGUCUUAGAGAGGGGGACAACCCGAGGAAACUUGGGCUAAAACCGCAUAUUCUCGAGAGAGGAAAGCAGGGGACCGGAAACGGCCUUGUGCUCUAAGGUGAGCCUACGUCGGAUUAGCUAGUUGGUAGGGUAAAAGCCUACCAAGGCGAUGAUCUGUAGCUGGUCUGAGAGGACGGACAGCCACACUGGGACUGAGACACGGCCCAGACUCCUACGGGAGGCAGCAGUGGGGAAUAUUGGACAAUGGGGGAACCCUGAUCCAGCGAUGCCGCGUGUGUGAAGAAGGCCUGCGGGUUGUAAAGCACUUUCAGUGGGAAAGAGAAGCGUCUU